AGCUCAGGAUGAACGCUAGCUACAGGCUUAACACAUGCAAGGUCGAGGGGGAAACGAUAUUGGAAGCUUGCUUCCGAUAGGCGUCGACCGGCGCACGGGUGAGUAACGCGUAUCCAACCUGCCCAUCACUUGGGGAUAACCUUGCGAAAGUAAGACUAAUACCCAAUGACGUCUCUAGAAGACAUCUGAAGGAGAUUAAAGAUUUAUCGGUGAUGGAUGGGGAUGCGUCUGAUUAGCUUGUGGCGGGUAACGGCCCACCAAGGCGACGAUCAGUAGGGGUUCUGAGAGGAAGGCCCCCCACAUUGGAACUGAGACACGGUCCAAACUCCUACGGGAGGCAGCAGUGAGGAAUAUUGGUCAAUGGACGAGAGUCUGAACCAGCCAAGUAGCGUGCAGGAUGACGGCCCUAUGGGUUGUAAACUGCUUUUAUAAGGGAAUAAAGUGAGUCUCGUGAGACUUUUUGCAUGUACCUUAUGAAUAAGGACCGGCUAAUUCCGUG
rnacentral:rRNA from 1 species